UACGGAGGGAGCUAGCGUUAUUCGGAAUUACUGGGCGUAAAGCGCACGUAGGCGGCUUUGUAAGUUAGAGGUGAAAGCCUGGAGCUCAACUCCAGAAUUGCCUUUGAUACUGCAUGGCUUGAAUCCAGGAGAGGUGAGUGGAAUUCCGAGUGUAGAGGUGAAAUUCGUAGAUAUUGGAAGAACACCAGUGGCGAAAGCGGCGCACUGGACCA
rnacentral:rRNA from 1 species